CCCUGCCUGCUUUGACCUGAACUUGGUGACCUUCAGGCCAUCAGUGGAGUGGGGCAGAAUGAAUAGCCUGUCCUGGCUCAUGGCAGCCACCGGGUGAGGCGCCUGCAUGCGUGGCUCGGAGGCCUUCUGCAGGCACAACCC